UACGUAGGGUGCGAGCGUUAAUCGGAAUUACUGGGCGUAAAGCGUGCGCAGGCGGUUCGUUGUGUCGGUGGUGAAAGCCCCGGGCUCAACCUGGGAAUAGCCAUGGAAACUGGCGAACUGGAGUGUGGCAGAGGGGGGUGGAAUUCCGCGUGUAGCAGUGAAAUGCGUAGAGAUGCGGAGGAACACCGAUGGCGAAGGCAGCCCCCUGGGCUAGCACUGACGCUCAGGCACGAAAGCGUGGGGAGCAAACAGG
rnacentral:rRNA from 1 species